GGUAAUAAUUAAGAAUUAUUACUUACUUUUACUUAUAUUAAAACCUAUAAAGUAAAUUACU
rnacentral:tRNA from 1 species